AUCCUUUUGUGGUGGUUCAUAAGUGUGAUGAUUGAGUUUUCACGCCAAUGUGUAAGUUGUGCCUCCCUCAAAUCUUGUUAUAUAGCAUUACCAUAUUCACCAAUAUCAUU
ensembl:snoRNA